GACGAACGCUGGCGGCGUGCUUAACACAUGCAAGUCGAACGGAAAGGCCCUGCUUUUGUGGGGUGCUCGAGUGGCGAACGGGUGAGUAACACGUGAGUAACCUGCCCUUGACUUUGGGAUAACUUCAGGAAACUGGGGCUAAUACCGGAUAGGAGCUCCUGCUGCAUGGUGGGGGUUGGAAAGUUUCGGCGGUUGGGGAUGGACUCGCGGCUUAUCAGCUUGUUGGUGGGGUAGUGGCUUACCAAGGCUUUGACGGGUAGCCGGCCUGGGAGGGUGACCGGCCACAUUGGGACUGCGAUACGGCCCAGACGCCUACGGGAGGCAGCAGUGGGGAAUAUUGCACAAUGGGCGGGAGCCUGAUGCAGCAACGCCGCGUGCGGAAUGACGGCCUUCGGGUUGUAAACCGCUUUCGCCUGUGACGAAGCGUGAGUGACGGUAAUGGGUAAAGAAGCACCGGCUAACUACGUG
rnacentral:rRNA from 1 species